rnacentral:lncRNA from 1 species
GUGGGGGGGGGGGAGGCUCUUCCACUGAUUUACUGUGGUCUAUAUUGAAUGCUUCUGCUUUAGCCUUGUUGGAUAAGACACAAAGAGAUAAUGCAUCAGAAUUUGAAGAUUGUUGGAUGUGCUUUUCUGCUUCUCCGCCCUUUUAUGAGGGCAUAGCCUUAUUUAAAAAUUUUACCCUGCUUUCAGAUGCUAGGCAGCUUCCCUUUGAGUCAGUUCAGCUUACCUUGAUAGAACUCUCUGGGAUAGAAAAUUGUGUGUUGGGCCCAGGCAUGCUUCUGCCGCAGCCCUUGCUAGAGAUUUGCAAUAACACGUUUAGAGUAAAUAAAAAUGGGUUUUCUUAUCUUCUUGCCCCAAAUGAUACCUUUUUGGCAUGUUCCAAGGGCCUUACAUGGUACAUUAUUACAUAAGAUUUUAU